CUCCCCCCUUUAUGGCGGAUUGGAGGUAGCGGCGGCGAAUUCGCGCUCACCCGCUGCACUUAAGCAUAUCAAUAAGCGGAGGGAAAGAAACUAACAAGGAUUCCCCUAGUAGCUGCGAGUGAAGCGGGAAAAGCUCAAAUUUAAAAUCUGUCAGUGAUGGGCUGUGCGAGUAGUAUUCUAGAGAAGUGUAGAUCCGCGCCGGACCGUGUACAAGUCUCUUGGAACGGAGCGUCAUAGAGGGUGAGAAUAAGGUCUUUGACACGGACUGCCAGGGCUUUUGUGAUGCGCUCUCAAAGAGUCGAGUUGUUUGGGAAUGCAGCUCAAAAUGGGGGGUAACUUCCAUCCAAAGCUAAAUAUUGGUGAGAGACCGAUAGAGAACAAGUGCCGUGAGGGAGAGAUGAAAAGAAAUUUGGAAAGAGAGUUAAUCAGUACGUGAAAUUGCUGAAAGGGAAACGCUGGAAGUCAGUCGCGUCAGCCAGGGGUCUGCCUCGCUUUCGCUUGGUGUGCUUUUUGGUUGACGGGUCAGUAUUGAUUAUGACUAUUGGAAAAAGACUAAGUGAAUGUGGCAUACAUAGUGAUGUGUUAUAGCGCUUGGUUGCACAUAAUGGUUGGGAUUGAGGAACUCAGCUCGUCGCAAGCGCCGGGUUUUUAUAAAUCACGUACGUGCUUAGGAUGAUGGCAUAAUGGCUUUAAUCGACCCGUCUUGAAACACGG
rnacentral:rRNA from 1 species